GCGGAGGCAAAGAGGCAAAGAGGAGGCGAGAGCGAAGGAGCAGCAUCUUCUCCGGCUCCAUCCCCGAGCCGACAAGUUCAUCCAAAGUUGCGGCACAGACUUCCUCUCUGAGCACCGAUGCCAGUUUCUUCAGCUAGGCUCCACCACAAGUGUCGGUGAUGGUAUGACUCUGGAAGGAAGACUGCAGCGGCGGUACUGGUCGUAAACCUUCUGUUUCCAUCGAAACCAAUCCUGACAUUGCGACGAAGCACAAUGAAGAUCUGGCACCUGCGAGAAGACUCCUGAGCAAGCAGUCGGCUCACGCUGCGACAGCACGAAGGCUGAUUUGCCGUCGCCUCCGGCGAGAGGAGCCCAGCGUGACCCCGGCCUCUAUGAGGUAAACGAGGAUCCACCAGGAUGAGAUGAUGGCUGACGCACGUGGAGUCUGAAUUUGGCACGCUGCGUUAAGAUCACUUAGGAACAAAGGCAAAAAUUAUAGAAACGUUAUUUAGUCUCAUCUGCAUGGAGGUAUGUAUGCGCAAUCCCAAUAAUGUAAGCGGGUAGGUAUCCAUUGAAUAGCCCAGCAGGGCCGAGAACGAAAAGUGGUAUUUGCUACGUGGCAAAAUGGAUUUUGCCAUGUGGCAUUUUUUUUUGGCCAUGUGGCAAAACGGAUGUGGCAUUUUUUUGCCAUGUGGCAAAAUGGAUUUUGUCAUGUAGCAUUUUUUUUUUGCCAUUUGGCAAAAUUGAUUUGGCCAUGUGGCAAAAUGGAUUUGCCAUGUGGCAUUUUUUUUGUCAUGUGACAAAUUUAUUUUGCCAUGUGGCAUAAUUGAUUUUGCCGUGUGGCAAAAUGUAUUUUGCCGUGUGGCAAAACUGAUUUGGCCAUGUGGCAAAAUUGAUUUGGCCAUGUGGCAAAAUGUAUUUUGCCAUGUGGCAAAAUUGAAUUGGCCAUGUGGCAAAAUGUAUUUUGCCAUGUGGCAAAAUUGAAUUUGCAAUGUGGCAAAAUGUUUUUGCCAUGUGGCAAAUUUGAUUUUGCUAUGUGGCAUUUUUUUUGCCAUGUGGCAAAAUGUUUUUUGCCGUGUGGCAAAAUGGAUUUUGCCGUGUGGCAAAAUGGAUAUGGCUUUUUUUUUUGCCAUGUGGCAAUAUGGAUUUUUCCAUGUGGCAUUUUUUUGCCAUGUGGCAAAAUGGAUUUUGUCAUGUAGCAUUCUUGUGCCAUGUGGCAAAAUGGAUUUUGCCGUGUGGCAAAUUGUUUUUUGCCGUGUGGCAAAUUUGAUUUUGCUAUGUGGCAUUUUUUUUACCAUAUGGCAAAAUGGAUAUGGCACUUUUUUGCCAUGUGGCAAUAUGGAUUUUUCCAUGUGGCAUUUUUUUGCCAUGUGGCAAAAUGGAUUUUGUCAUGUAGCAUUUUUGUGCCAUGUGGCAAAAUGGAUUUUGCCGUGUGGCAAAUUGUUUUUUGCCGUGUGGCAAAUUUGAUUUUGCUAUGUGGCAUUUUUUUUUACCAUAUGGCAAAAUGGAUAUGGCAUUUUUUUGCCAUGUGGCAAUGUGGAUUUUGCCAUGUGGCAAAAAUGGAUUUUGUCAUGUGGCAUUUUUGUGCCAUGUGGCAAAAUGGAUUUUGCCAUGUGGCAUUUUUGUGCCAUGUAGCAAUAUGGAUUUUGCCAUGUGACAAAAUGGAUAUGGCAUAUUUUUGCCAAGUGGCAAAAUGGAUUUUGCCAUGUGGCAUUUUUUUUACCAUGUGACAAAAUCCAUUUAUCCAUGUGAUAAAAUCCACAUGGCAAAUACCACUUUUGGUUCUCGCAGUCUCUCGAAUAGCUAGAUACGAAUUGACCUCAAAAAGAGCUGUAAAAUAGUUCUGCAUACAAAUCUGUAUCAUUUGAAGAAAAACUUACCUCGCGCAGCAAAAUUGCAAUGUGGCAAAAAAAAAAAAAGCCACAUGGCAAAAUCAAUUUUGCCACCUGGCAAAAAAAAAAUGCCGCAUGGCAAAAUCCAUUUUGCCACAUGGCAGAUACCACUUCUGGUUCUCGCUGUCUAUCAAAUAGAUACCAAAUGAACCGUAAAAUAGUUCCCCAUCCAAAUCUGUAUCGUCUUAAGAAAAACUCUUACUUCGCUAGUCACGCCUUUUGAAGCCUCUGCGCGGCCGCUCGCCCACGUGCCGACCGCCGCCUCCGCCUCCCCACCCCCGGUGCAGAGCGGUGGCAUUAUUAAACUUGUAUAAGAUCAUUAGCAUACAAAGCAGGAAACCUACAGCGUCGCAGUCAUACAUAUUUAUCUGGACGUGCUUAGCACGCGCUCGUACCGUAACCCUUCCGCUCGCCAAGCGUGUCCGGCUAUCUGUCGCGGACGACGGCGCAUUUCGGCCGCCGCGAAGUGGGUAUUAGCUGAAGCGCGCCCGGUUUUCACGUGGAAAUAUUUAUCAAGAGGAUGCCGGAAUAUGCCCAUUUGCAAACAGCAGAAGGAUGCUCGCUGGCAUUCAUCACCGCUCUUUGUUUCGAGCGUAGCGCGUGUAAUAAAACGAUAAUAAAAUACAUAUUCAUUUGGCGUCCGUAAUCAAACGGGGACUUUGAUACGACGAGCGUCACCUGUGGGUUAGCCGUGCAUGCGUAGGAGCGAAAGCACGCCAUUGCCGUCUCUUAGCCUCUCCUGGGUGCCACCCCCCUCUGUUUUCCUGCUUCUUUUUCCCGCCUGAUUGCACAAUAGCUCCUUGUUUGCAAUGCGAAAUUCUCUUUCCCAGUGGCAUUUCAUAGGGAAAAAAAGGGUGGGGUGCCUGUAAAUCCCAAAGAAAAGUCUAGUUGCUAGGCAGCGUCCUUGAAGCGCCUUUAUCUGGCCAAUGACAGCACACCAAAGUAAGAGCUAACUGAUAGUAUCACUGCUCACCUGCUGAUUGCCACUGCUUCUUCCUCCCUUGCUUUUCCUCCUCUUCCUCCUUCCUGUGAGAUUGCUGUUGUGUCUUAUGGCUUUUUAUUCCUACGUGAUGGUCGAUGUGUUCAUGUAGGAACAGAAGCCACUAAACACGCGGUGACCGAUCAGCGCGACGGACAAUUUCGGGAUGUUGCCGUCAACAUUUAUCUAAGUUAAUUCGACGUUCUGCUGUAUGUCAGGACAUGUAAAAUGUUCACUAUAGAAGCACACCAGCGAUGAGAUGCACAGAGGUAGGUGAUGAUUGUUUUAUGAACAGACAACAAUCAACUCAUUCACUGCAAUAUGUAAAUAAAUUAUAAAAAAUUUCAUAGACUUCAUCAUUAUAUUGACGGGACAGAUUCCCCAGACACUGCCCCACGCCUUUUCGUAGUUGGCUGUCCCACACUCCGCUUCAGUUAAUCGCAGUCGGUCUUAGUUCUUCUCAAACACAUGCAGCGAUCCAACGCCGGAUUUAGGUUGAAAAAGUACGAAAGGUAUACCGCAUACAAACAGGAAGGAUUGUCUCAGGAGUGAUUUGUUCGAGGAUUCAAGGUAAUUGUUCUAUUUUUCGUACCAUGCGUGCAUUUUGAAACAUGAAAAAAAUCAAUAGGAGAAAUUAGCGGCAACAGCAUUGGCGUCCUACUCCACAAUAUUUACAUCAAAUAAAUGCUCACUGCCUGUUUUUUGCUUUUAACCAAGAAUCGAGACUGUUUUACAGUCAUAUCUAUAAAGAAUUCAGGGAUUUAAGCAUUUAUUCACACGAAUUUUCGACAUAAAAACUCAUUGUGGUGAUAAGCCAGCACCACAGUGGCUUAAAGACUAGCAGUACAUUCGACAUAUUUACGUAAAAUAAAUGCUAACUUCCGUUUUUUGUUCUUUUAACCAAAAAUCGAGACUGUUUUAAGUCCAUAUCUAUAAAGAAUUCAGGGAUUUAAGCAUUUAUUCACAAGAAUUUUUAACGUAAAAACUCUCUGUGGUGAUAAGGCGGCGCCACAAUGGCUUAAAGACUAGCAGCAUAUUCGACAUAUUUACGUAAAAUAAAUGCUAACUGCACGUUUUUUUGGUCUUUUAACAAAGAAUAAAGAGUGUUUUACAUCAAUAUCUAUAAAGAAUUCCGGGAUUUAAGCAUUUAUUCACAAGAAUUUUUAACAUAAAAACUCCUUGUGGUAAUAAGCCGGCACCACAGUGGCUUAAAGACUAGCAGUACAUUCGAAAUAUUUACAUCAAAUAAAUGCUAACUGCCCGUUUUUUUUGCUUUUAACCAAGAAUCGAGACAGUUUUACAUCCAUAUCUAUAAAGAAUUCAUGGAUUUAAGCAUUUAUUCCCAAAAAUUUCAAAAUAAAAAGCUCUUUGUGAUAAGGUGGCGCCUCAGUGGCUUAAAGACUAGCAGUACAUUCAACAUAUUUACGUAAAAUAAAUGCUAACUGCCCGUUUUUUUGCUUUUAACCAAGAAUCGAGACAGUUUUACAUCCAUAUCUAUAAAGAAUUCAUGGAUUUAAGCAUUUAUUCCGAAAAAUUUCAACGUAAAAAGCUCUUUGUGGUGAUAAGGCGGCGCAAGAGUAGCUUAAAGACUAGCAGCACAUUCGACAUAUUUAUGUAAAAUAAAUACUAACUGCUUGUUUUUUUGCUUUUAACCAAGAAUCGAGACUGUUUUACAUCCAUAUCUAUCAAGAAUUCAGGAAUUUAAGCAUUUAUUCCCCAAAAUUUCAACAUAAAAAGCUCUUUGUGAUAAGGCGGCGCCUCAGUGGCUUAAAGACUAGCAACAUAUUCGACAUAUUUACGUUAAAAAAAAUGCUAACUGCCCGUUUUUUUUUUGCGUUUAACCAAGAAUCGAGACAGUUUUACAUCCAUAUCUAUAAAGAAUUCAUGGAUUUAAGCAUUUAUUCCCAAAAAUUUCAACAUAAAAAGCUCUUUGUGAUAAGGCGGCGCCUCAGUGGCUUAAAGACUAGCAGUACAUUCGACAUAUUUACGUAAAAUAAAUGCUAACUGCACGUUUUUUUGGUCUUUUAACAAAGAAUAAAGAGUGUUUUACAUAGAUAUCUAUAAAGAAUUCCGGGAUUUAAGCAUUUAUUAACAAGAAUUUUUAACAUAAAAACUCCUUGUGGUAAUAAGCCGGCACCACAGUGGCUUAAAGACUAGCAGUACAUUCGAAAUAUUUACGUCAAAUAAAUGCUAACUGCCAGUUUUUUUUGCUUUUAACCAAGAAUCGAGACAGUUUUACAUCCAUAUCUAUAAAGAAUUCAGGGAUUUAAGCAUUUAUUCCCAAAAAUUUCAACAUAAAAAGCUCUUUGUGAUAAGGCGGCGCCUCAGUGGCUUAAAGACUAGCAACAUAUUCGACAUAUUUUCGUUAAAAAAAUGCUAACUGCCCGUUUUUUUGCUUUUAACCAAGAAUCGAGACAGUUUUACAUCCAUAUCUAUAAAGAAUUCAUGGAUUUAAGCAUUUAUUCCGAAAAAUUUCAACGUAAAAAGCUCUUUGUGGUGAUAAGGCGGCGCCAGAGUAGCUUAAAGACUAGCAGCACAUUCGACAUAUUUACGUAAAAUAAAUGCUAACUGCCCGUUUUUUGUUCUUUGAACCAAAAAUCGAGACUGUUUUACGUCCAUAUCUAUCAAGAUAUAAGGGAUUUAAGCAUUUAUUCACAAGAACCUUCAAAUUAAAAAGCUGUUUGUCCGUGUUUUCACUCGGUCAGCUUUGACGGAGAUAGGCCCCCUAUUAAUCGGCCCCACACCCUGUCAAUAUAUUAUGAAGUCUAUGAACAUUCCCAUUUAAACUUCCAUUUCUUUCUUGGAUACUUUUACCAACUUGUCCAACUGUGGCAUUUAUUCCCUUAAAGCUCCCCUUGAGCGGAGUUCGCUACCAACCAAUUAAGCGUAAAAUUCAAAUGACCUCAUUCCCGUUUGGGUCCACGUUGGCGCGUUGGGAUUGGGUUUAAAUGUCAAGCGUCUGUUAGUGUCGACCGCCCGCCGGCGCACAAUCUGAAUAAAUCCUAAACGUGCUGUUGUCGCGAGCCAAAAGUCUGAAUUAUGAAUCCGUGUAUAUUACAGCGGUUCGACACGUGCUUCAAUUGUGCGACAUUACUUCUGCACCGACGCAAAGUUGGAUUAAUAUUCAAGAAGACAUUGCAAUAGCUACGCUCUGCUGGGGUUUCAUGAUUUAUUCAGCGCCGCGAGUUGUUGUGAUCUAAUAUUCAGUGGGCGGGAUGGGAAGUUUCUUUCGCUUGCAUUAUCGGUUUAAUUCAUGUUUCGGGUUCCCGCGCAUAGGUGGUGGGGCUUCUUUUUGGUGCGCGUGGGGGUCUAAGAGAAUUCCAGAGCAGAGCCGAGAGGGGCGGUUUCGAUCCCGGGCCGGCAGGGGGUCUGUGGGAAUGGAAAGGUGGGAACGCUAACAUGUUGGGAGGGUAGAAGCAUGUACUUUUGGGGGGGGUAGAAAAAAAAAGAUUGAUUCCAGAUGUCUUUCUUUGCCUGCGGGUGUGUUCGCCAUUGGUGAUCUGACGCCGCUUUUAAACCUUGAAAAUGUCAUAUUAGGUAUCAGCGAGGUCAUGUGGCCUUCAACUUCAAGCCAACGAUAGUGAAGGAAUUGAAUUUUUAUGUGACAAAUGCAAAGGCGUAUGAUGUGUUUGUGUACAGUAUCAACCCCCCCACAGGCUCCGCUUUGAUUUCCCUCUAAUAAAUAAUGCUCUUUUGUGUUCUCUGCUUCAUUUGUUCCCGUUUGUAAUGUCAGCGCUCUUCAAUAAAACAUGAACAA